CAGCGUUACCAGCAUUGAUGCCGGAAUUAGCUGAGUAAGCACUCUUUAAACAGCCACAAGCAGUCUGACGAUCAGGGGUUGAUUGUGCAGCGUUAUUGAGUGCGGUAACCCCACUGCAACAUCCCGAUGGCACAGCACCACCAUUUUUUAGGUAGCCAAGGCAUGGAGCUAAGUUGCUUACCACCUGACCACAAGUAAUAGCCUCUGCAUAGGGUGCAGCCACCACCAUGCAAGUGACUACUACACAAAAGACCAUCAUUGCCAUCCUUGCCAUUUUUCAAGUAUACGAGCACUAAAGCUGUAGGAAACUUAUAUGUUUGCUAGUUAUGUUAUUCAAAAUGUGUUUGGUGCAACAAACGUUGUCACUGGUUAGGGUAUUUAUAAUUAAAGAUUCUUCUUCUGUCUAUACAAAUGUGUGUGUGUGUGUGAAUGGAUAGGUUAGCUGGAAGUUGGAUUUGAUAUUAAUGGAACCUUAAUGUACACCUUUGAUGUAUAAUCUUCACCGAUUAACUGUAAACAUUUCAUUUAACUUCAUAAAAACGACGGAAUUCGGUUUUAAAUAUAUGGCGAACAAUGUAUCACUGUGAAUGCCGACCAUAUAUAUGCGGCCGUGUGGACUUUAUUAUCUUCAAUUAUCAAUAAAUGCAUUUUGUUUUUUCUCGAGACACGAUGUACACCAACAUUACUCACUUGCAUAUCUGGCAGUCGGUAGGCAUAUAUAAUUGAAAGAGUAAAUAAAUGAAAGUAAUAAAAUAUAUUAGUAAAUUAAAGAAGAUGACUAAAGAGUUUACCCAAAAUGAUUUUGUUUUUCUGUAGCAAAAGAUAUUGUUUUUAUAUCUUGAUAUUUAGUAUAAUCAACAUAUUUAAGUUUUUAAUACAUAUUACAAUGUUUUUAGUAGAUACAUAAGGUUUAAAACAACACUGGGUUUGUGGUUUCGCCGAUUUUAUGAGAUAACUUUGUAAUGCUCCCCUCAAUUUUUUUAAUCUGCAUCUGUGAGCUCAUUUUGUCGGAAAUGUUUCCGAAACAUUGUCACCAAUUAGUGUCAUGCUUAGUUUUUAGUCACAAAUGCCUCAUAAUUACUCAUAAUUAUAUGAAAAUGAGUUGUGUGUGAAGUCAGUUGGUACUUCGAACAACAUAUAUUCAACAUAUAUUUGUCCGAAAAUUGUCCCUCGGAAAAUGCUCGCAAAAGGUUUCCUAUGUCUGGUUUACCUACACAUUUCUGAUAGUACCGACUAAAAGAUCUAAUUUUUUUUUAAUUAUGUACUGUAUAAUAAAUCACAUGAAAAACUUUUAUAAUUUUUUCCUAGGACAAACAAAACAAAAUAUUUUUUAUAAGUAGAAACACGUUUAACUGAUAGAGUUGUAGAAAUAUAUAGCAAAAAAAAAAAGAUCUAAAAGUGUUUUUCUAUAGGCAGAAACAGGAUCAACAAAUUUUGAACUUGUAGAAAAUUUAUUGUGAAAUAAUAAAACUGCAUGAGGAAUCAAGUAUUAAAAGUAAUUAUAAGGUCUAAGUGUUGACAAGGGAUAGACUUAAUACUCUCUUUUUUUAUUAUUUUAUUAUAUUUACUAGCCAAGUGUUAUCAUUCUUUUUGGAUGGAGAAAUAAUUUUAUAAAGAUAAAAGCUAAUGAAAAAAAAAGAUCAAAUGCAAAGAAGUUAAGAAACAACAAAAUAUAAGCUAUAAGUGUGGCCGGUCCAAGGGAUGUUUAGAAUGUGCUUGUGACUAGGGCCUACCCAAAUAUUAGGCCCAACUUUUUCCCCAAUUUUAUAAAAGGUUAUGAUCACUUUUUUGCCCAAAUAGGUUAACAUGCGAGAAAGGAAACGACGUAAGUGGCAGCGAGAAUCAUAAAUAUUUUGGGAAAAGGCAACGACACUUUGGUUCUCGCUAAUAGUGAUUAACUGAUUCGGAUUUAGGCAUUGGAACCAAUUAAUAAUCGCGAUUGAGGCUUCGAGGUCACUAUUUCCCAUGGAAUUCACUCAAUCAGAAGCUAAGUCUUAAAUUUGUACUUCUAUAACAUCCUGACGAUGAAGUAUUUCCAAAUUAAGCCCUAAGUAUGAAGAUUUAUUGUAUUUAGCCCUUGUGUAUGAGAAAUGUUGCAAGAUGGUCUACAAUGGCAUUUUGGAAAUAUUUGGGCUGAGGUCAUGUACGGUGGGCAUACCAAGCGUAUGCAGGGCAUCCAUGCAUGAUCCCCAAACAUUAAUUUUUAGGGUUUGGAUCCUAUUUGAACAUCAUUAAGUCCGCAACCGGCCUUCUUUCAUUAGCCACCAGCUUACCUACGUCCCAAAACAAACCCUAAUCCACUUUUGAGCACUCUCAAGCUUUGUGUGUGUGUGAGUGUGUUUUGGUUACCUUGAAGGAGAGAGGAAGAAGAGAAGAUCAUCUUGGAGAAGUAGCACUUUUUGAAUCCAAAAUCCCAUCACAAUUUGGCAUCAUUUGGUGGUAAAAAGCUUUGAACUUGAUGAAACUAUGCAUAGAUCUAAGUUAGCCAUGAAGUUUGUGUCAUUUUGGUCCAUUAGUUUGAUAUUUUCACUAUGGGCUACUCCAGUCCAUUUAAGUUGCUAUUUCAGAAGUUUUGAGGUGUCUAGAAGCAUAAAAACAUGUUCUUGAUCAUUUCUUACCUUCCAUGCAUGAGUUACAAGGUAUUAAUAGGUUAAGUACUAAAGGUUUUUAGUGCUAAGCACUUAUUGGGCAUGUAAGACCAUAAAGUUGGACACUAUAUGGUUAAAGACGACAUUUAGAGCAUGGACCUGAUUUUGGACAAAGGGACUUGAUGUAUUAAGCUUUUAAUAAUAGAUGGGGCUGACUGUGUACGUACGCUACACGUACCAAAUUAGUACGUUGUGCGUACACCGUCCUGGGCCAAGAAGAGUACACCCAACAUACAGAUGAGUACGUCAAACACACUCGACAGGGUUGACUCGGCUAGUUUUUUUACUUUGAACUUAAACCUUUGACCAUGUUUGACCUAAGGGUAUUUUAGAUAAUUUGAGUGGUAUUUGAGAUCGGCCAUUAUUUAGUGUUUAGGUGACCAGUUGAAUUGUCAUUUGGAGCUGUGUUCUGUUAGAUAUCUUUUCAGACUGAGAUGUGAGUUUUCCUUAGUGUAGUCGUGGGUCAAGUCAUCAAUGUCAGCCCAAUAGAUUAUUUUAUCCUAGUCAUAGGAUAGUGUUAUGCUAAUAUGUCAUUCAGUCGUAGAUCUGUAUGGUUAUUUGUAUUUGUUGGUUAUGUGUUAUGUUUGUUUGUUACAUAUGUCGACAUAUUUUGGUUAGGUUGAGGGAGUUAUGCUUUAUGUAGAAGGCCAAGACACCUGGGGCGGUCCAGAUAUACUGUAGGCCCUACGAGGCGUUCCAGUUAGGCCGAAGGCCUGUAGUGCAGUCUAGAUGCAAGGCAACCCAGUCUUGUUGAAGGCUCAUAUUUACAUGCUUCGUUUGAGAUGUAGUGUGUUGGUACUUUGGGGGAACACACUAAGCAUGGAAGACCCCGGGUGAGCCCGUGGCAGUUGGAAAUAACACCAUGUGGGGGAGCCCAUGGCAUUCCCGGGUAAAGACCAUGUGGUGUAGUCCAUGACACGGUGCUAUAACACGCUAGGGGAGCCCACAACAUCCAUAUAUAUUUAUGUAUGUCUUAGGUAGUAUAAUAGAUACUUCUGUGAUAUAUGAUAUGCUAGUUGAUUAUGUGGUUAUUGCAUGGAUGACCCUAGGGGGAGCUCGUGGCAGUUGGAAAUAAGACCAUGUGGGGAAGCCCAUGACAUUCCUAGGUAAAGACCAUGGGGGGAGCUAAUGACACAUAAUUGUAAGACCAUGUGGGAGAGCCCAUGACAUCCUGGAGUAGGACCCUGGGGGAGCCCACAACAUCCUUAUAUGUUUAUAUGCAUUGUUUAUGUGAUAUGUAGUAUAUUAGUUGUUUAUGUGGGAUGUGGUAUACUAGUUGUUUAUGUGAUGUGUGAUAUGCUAGUUGUCUUUGUGAUACUUGCAUGGAAGACCCCGGGGGGAGUCUGUGGCAGUGGAUAUAAGACCAUAUGGGGAGCCCAUGGCAAUCCCAGGUAAAGACCAUGGGGGAACCCGUGGAAUGAAGGUAUAAGACCCUUUGGGGGGGGGGGGGGGAGCCCACGGCAUCCUUAUAUGUUCAUAUGUAUGGAUUAUGUGAUUGAUAUGGAUUAUGUGUUGUUAUAGCUGAUACAUAUUAAGUAAUUAUGUGGAUUGUGUGGGUAUGCUCUAGGGAACUCACUAAGCUUCAUGCUUACAAUUUUGUUUAUGGUUUCAGGUAUCAUUGUUUGGAAAGGAAGGGCUCAGUUUGAUCAAAGUGUACACACAUGUGCUUCCGCAAUAUAUGAUUUUGGGACGAACUUUGAUGAAUGUUUUUAAUUAAUCAUGUUUUUGGAAUGUUUGGAUUUAAAGACAUAUAUAUUUUGACAAUAUUGAAAAAUGAAAUUUUUAUGCUUAAUUUUUGGGUCGUUACAAGUUGGUAUCAGAGCCUUGGUCUGAGGGAUUUAGACAUACUUUCGGGUGUGUCUGAACUCAAACUGAGGAUUUGUUGAGUUUUCAAAAGGAAAAUGUUUUAAGUAAAGAAUUUCUAAGAUAAGAAAGGGUAUGGUGCAUGCAAUCAGCCGAGCACAAGUAAGUUUCCCAGAAUACCCACAUGUGUUGUCUGUUAUGACUUGGUUUAUGAAUAUGUGAAUCUCAUGCUAGUUAGGGUUAGGGGAGAUGUAUGUAUAUUUUGUAUGAGCUGAUAGACUUGCAUGCUAGUGCUGAGUAGUCAACAAUAGGUUGGCCUGAUAUGUGGUGCUUGUAGCCUUGGGAAUAUUUGAUGUCAUGCUAGAAUGAGAAUGCUUAUUGGUAUUAGUAACUGCUAUGUGUAUGCUUUUAAAAUUGUAUACGGCUAGGAUCUUAUAGCCUUAGAGUAAUUGAUUUGGCCUUAUUUCCUGUUCCUCGUCUGGUUGUGGUCCUAUGGUAGAGUCUAUUAUACGACGGUCUAUUAGAUCCUGUUUUGUGUACAAUUUGCAUGCAUAAGGUAGCCGACAGUAAGGAUGGAUGGAUAUGGACAGCAUGAGUUGUGAUAUGUGGGUUGAAUGUUCGAUGAUAUUUCUUUGGAUCGGGGUGCUACUACACGAAUGUUGCUUGCUUGGUGCUUUGUGGAACUCUUUAGUGAUGGGAGUCAACUACUAAGUGGAUAUGAAAAUAUCCAGGAGGUAGAUGGCCGACAUCAUGGGGAGUUUUUCAGCAGCUGAUGGCAGGGCAAGGUUGGGAACCUAGGAAAGCCUAGAAUAUGCUCUAGUGAGUUAGUGGGGCGGUUCAGUGAGGUUGGAAACCUAAGGGGGCCUAGGAGGUGCUUCGGUGGAUAUUUUAUUGUUGCUUAGCAAACAUUUAGUACAUCAUGGGAGUAGGUGACUUAGAGGAUUCAGGAUGAUCCUGGAGGAAAGUAUGGAUAAGUGUGGAAGGUAGUAUUGGGCCUGUACUACUUAAAGCACUGGAUCCAUACUCAAAUCAGGGAAAGUCUAGGAGAAUCUAAGAAUCAUGGGAAGGAGAAUUAAUUGUUACGAUUAGACUGUGAGGAUAGCUGUUGUGUGGAAUGCGAAUGAGCACGCAAGGGGAAGGACCAAGGUUUGGUCCCAGCUUCGGUGGAGAGCCAAUUAGCAGAAGGACUUCCAGGAUUUUGAAUUCGCCUUGGAUCUCUAGUAUCAGGAGGCAAGGAUUGAUUGUGCGAUCUACUACACUUUGGAGAUGAGAGAUUAGGUCUUGGGGGUACUUUGUAGCCCAACUUAGGGCAGAGGUUGCUUCAACUACUGUAGUUCCAUCGUGGACGAUUGAGCUGGUGAGUGUGCCAGGCUACGAGACCCUGAGUGAUAUGAUUUCUAGAGCUCGAGAGCAGGGAUUGAUUUGGAACAUGUUGGGAAGAGGGGAUUCAGUGUAGUUCUUGCGGGAAAAUGCACAAGCGAGUUUUUCAUUUCAAGGGUUUUAGUAGGCGUAUCUAUGGGUUUGCUUCAUUGUUUGUGUUUGGAAUAUGCCUUCAAACAUUGUCGUAUACUAUUUGCAUAUCAUGAGUUACAAAAUGGUUAGAAAAGGCAGUUUUCCUCUUUGAUGGAUUGGAGCAUCAAACGGUAUCUGGGUUUAUGGUUGAGAUCGAUUCAGACACGUGAUGCGGAAGGUCUAAGGUCAGGAUUGCUGAAUCAACCAUUAUGCUUGGGCCGACUUUUAGAAGAGCCAGGGGAAGUGGUUUACUGUUGAGGCUUUGUUCUAGGCAUCGGUUAUUUGGACUUCAAGAUAUAGGUGGGGCAUCAUUUCAAGAUGUCUGAGAUUAUUAGUCUCACUGGGAUUCGGGAAGUGUUUGUCUGAUCUUUAGGAGUAGCGUGGUCCUUGGGGAUUUGGGCCAGUAAUAGAACACUCAUACAGACAAGAAGCAAGUUGUCAACAGUUGGUUAUUAAAGAGUAAGAAGGAUCGAGAAUCCUUCAAAUCUCAUGUAUUAUGAAGAUUUACUCGAAUCUAAGUGGGGGAGAAUCGCGCAGGUAUUCAGGACAGGGACAUGUAUGAGACUGGGAUGGGUUUCUCAUCCUCAUCGAGGAAAAUGGCGGCCCAAGUGGCUAUUUGGUUUGUAGGUUGUGCCAGUUUAAAGUCCAGUAAGACUCCCCGUCAUGUGAAUUGCGUCUUCUUAGGGCCUUGAUAAAAAAAAUUUGGGUAGACAGGUUGGGGCUCCAGACAGGAAUGGAGUUCAGUUCGGGUGUUCGGUGGAGUGCAUGCUCGACUGUGCAUGCAUUUCGAAUAAAUAGAUUAUGGGUAAGGUAUUCGGCUACGAUUGUGUUAGGAUGAGGGUGUUGUAAGACUACGGAGGAGCCGUAGCAUUCACUAAUGGUCAGUUGGUAUGAAAGUGUUGUCAGACUACGGGGGAGCCAUAGCAUUCAGUAAUGGUCAAAUGGUAUGGAAGUGUUGUAAGACUACCGAGGAGCCGUAGCAUUCACUAAUGGUUGGUUAUGAUGAAAGUGUUUUAAGACUAUGGGGGAGCCGUAGCAUUCACUCAUGGUCAGUAGGGUGAAAGUGUUGUAAGACUACGGGGGAGCCGUAGAAUUCACUAAUCUUUAGUUAUGAUGAAAGUGUUGUAAGACUACGGAGGAGCCGUAUCAUUCACUCAUGGUUAGUAGGGUGAAACUGUUGUAAGACUACGAGGGAACCGUAGCAUUCACUACUAACCAGAUAGUGUGGAAAGUGUUGUGAGACUACGAGGAGCUGUAGUAUUCACAACAACCAAAUAGUGUGGGAGAUAAAGACAUAUUGUAGGGUAGCUGUGAUAUUCAUGGAUUCGUUCGGAUGGCUUAGGCCAGUGUGGGCCAGUUCACAAGGUGGUGAGAAGGUCACAAUAUAAUUAGAAUCAGGGAAUGGUAGGUCGAAGGAGACCGCUUGUGAUGUAAGACUACAAUUAUUCUGGUAGCAUUCACCUUUUUGCGUUGGAUUCAGUGGCGACAGGUUGUCAGCCUAUCAAGAUCCGAUGGAUCGAAUGGAUUGAAGGAGCCAUGAGUGGUUGUAAAGAUAGUGUAGUUAUAGUUAGACAAUGUAUCCUUCGGAGGUCGCACGGGACUGCUACGUGUGUUUUUGACCCAACAAUCAGUUAGGUGUCUGAUAUUCUGAGUAGUUGACAAAUAAAGUGAGAUUAGAGAGGUCUCGGCGACAUUCAAAAAGCAGCAAGUGGUAGCCAGAAGAGUCAAAAUGGGUUCAGUGAUUUGGGAUCCGUGUGUAGGGUUGCCUGUCAUUCGGGGCGUAUACUAAGUUGGUUACUGUUGGACUAAAUAAUGUCAUAAGUUGAAUAGCCAUUUGGGAGACCAGUACAAUGCACUCGACAAUGAUUUGAUGCGGGCGAUCGAUCAAGGAGGCAGACCAUCUCAAGACUAUAGAUCUCAGACGGAGUACAAGCGAUCAUGUUGCAAGGAAUUCAUUCAUAUUCGGGUUUCAAAACCCUUUGGGGUCGGUUUUGGUUCCCUUAGAGAGGCUAUGGUAUGCUUGUGGUUGUGACUAUGUCGUCCAAGUUGUCGGCAGGUAAAGAAUUAUUUCGAGGACGAAAUCUAAUUUAAGUGGGGGAGAGUUGUAACAUUUAGUUUAUUUAAUAAAUAAAUAGAUAUGUAAGGAUUUAUGGAGGUAGGGGCUGAUUAGUAACAUUUUGGACUUGAUUUGGAAUGGUUUUCGGAAGUUGAGGUUAAAAGGGUAACUUGUGAACUUGUUUUGAAAAAGAAGGGAGACUGAGGGGCCAUUCAUGCCAAUAUAGCAACAAGUUGUAGGACAUGGUUAUAUAAACCCUCCAAACAAACCGUAACCCUAGAGGCUGUUACAACCACUACCCUCUUUAGUCUCUGGCGCCGCACCGCCCGCUCCCUCUUGUUCUCCAGCAAACGAAGAGCCGAACGACCGCUUGCUGCUGCCUCACUUCGCGAUGCCACUACAACCCGUUUCACCUUGUUGUUGUCGCUACUGUCAUUUCCAAUAAGAAGAGAAGUCGGGAAUAGGAGUAUCACCGUCCCACUUUUGCAUUGUCGCAGCUACUAUGCCAUCAAAACGCCUUAGCCGCUGCCGGUGACAUUGUGAGUGCCGCUGCCGUCGCUCCCAGUCACAUCUCUUCUCCGUUCCAGUGGUGCUACACCUAGCUAUUCCCGACGCCACCCUAAGCCUUGAGUGACCACCUUCUGUGGUAUUUCCGGUUGUCACUUGCCACCAAUGUGGCUGAGUUCGUAGUUUGCAACGGGAGGGUAUGCUGUUGUAUUGUGCUAAUCUUCGUGGGGUGUAUUUAUGUACGGGUAUGUGUUGUGUGUGGGGUUUAUUUGGCCGAAAAAGCCACCACCACCACCGUGAGGUGGUGGCUGCCACCAUAUGCCACUUUCGUGUAACAUCCCAAAAAUACGAGCCAAACUUUUUUUUUGUUUUAAUAAUAAUAAAAAUCAUAUACUGAACAACAUAUCACAAAACCAUACGUCAAAUAUCUCAAAUCAUAAUAAAAUGUCGUGAAACAACUGUAUCAAGUCAAACUAAGAAUCAAAACAUACUCCCAGGACAAAUACUGAAGUUGUGGUGUGUGCGAUGCCAUCCACCCGAGCUCUUCCCUUUGCUUGCGGAAGUACCUGAAACCAAAGCUGAAACUGUAAGCACGAAGCUUAGUGAGCUCCCCCAAACUACCACAUACCAUACAAUAACAUGUAAACACAUACUGGGCCUUGCCCACUUCAUCGUACCGAAGUCCGAAAACUGCAUCGGACCGAAGUCCAGAAUUAACCAGGGCCUUGCCCUCUGUAUUGGAUCGGAGUCUGGAAACUACAUCGGACCAAAGUCAGGAACUGACUGGGACCUUGUCCGCUACAUCGGACCGAAGUCCGGAACUAACUGCAUCGGACCGAAAUCCGGAGCUGAUUGGGACCUUGUCGCCUGCAUCGGACCGAAGUCCGGAUACUGACUGAGCAUAACAUAGCAUAGCAUAAACAUAUCAACUAGCAUGAACACAUAAACUGUAUACUGCAUCGAGCCAUAGCCCGGAACACAUAACACAUAAAUCCUGUCUGAGCCACGAAGGCAUUAAACAUACUAACUAUUGCAUCAUACCGAAUUCUGGAAACUACUGCUAGCUAAACGGGCCGACAUUGUGGCCUUAGACCCGUUCCUACUAGAAGGAAACUCACCUCGUGAUGUUGACUGCUGAACUCCUGAAUGAGAAAUCCCCGACUGUUGCUCCGAUUGCUUCCCAACUAUCAUGGGGAGUAAAAUACUAAAUGAGAAUAGGGAUUCUCCUAUGGGUAAAAUGACCAUUUUACCCAUGUUAUGGCAUGGGUCACAACAUGGCCCAAAACCCUCAAUUCCUUCUAAGCCCAUCCAUGGCCCCACUAAAAGCCCACUAAUGGCCCAAUUUUCUCCAUUGGGCCCAAAGCCCUUUAUUGGGCCUUACCCAAGCCCAAUAGUAAGCUUUGGCCCAUAAUACAGAAUUCUGAAGGCCACUAAAGCCCAAAGACCCUAAAUCCCAAACUCAGUCCACACCGAGGCCCAAGCGCUCGAAGCCCAAACUGGUAGCGUAUGCGGGGCGUACACGGAGAUACGUUGAGCGUACUGGCUACUGGCUGGUACGCGGCGUGUACCUCCUUGUACGUCCAGCAUACAACCCUGUUAAGCCAAAGUCUCAUUAAGUGCUUAAUAAUCCGGGUCAAAAGCUAAAAUCUUAGAUCCAGGUCUUAUCCUACGUCUGAAACCAUAAAGUUUCUUACUUGAUGGCUUACAAUACUCUCUUAAACUCAAACUUCUAAAAACAACCAUUUAUAACCAAGAAGGAGGCUAGAUCUCAUGCAUGGCUUCAUGAGAGCCUCAAAAAUCGAAACUUUAUUGCUAUGGGGGCACUUGAGCUUCAAGGAUAGCAAUCCCAAGCUCCGGAAACGAAGUUGCAUGAUAAAGGUCCUUCCUUUGGACCUAAAAAGUCCAACUUCCAAAAACUCUUAGAUCUAUGCUUACAAGAGGAAAGUUGGAAGCUUUAUACCUCUUUCGAAUGCCAAAUGAGUGAAUGAACCCAAAUCUAUGAGCUCAAGGUGCUCAAGUUCUCCUUCUUCCACUUCUCUUCUUCUUCUUCCCAACUUUUCUUCACAAAAAUGAGCUCAAAAGAUCAAACACAGACACAACAUGGAGAAAGGGACGAACUAGGGUAUUCUAAGAGUGAGGAGGCUGAUGGGAAAACAGGGAUGGAGGCUAUAAUGGGGUUUAUAUAGCCUUAAACCCCUAAAAUUAGGGUUUUUCCUCUGGCCGCGUACGUUGGGCGUACCAUAUGGUACACUGCACGUACGCUUUUCCUCCCCGCGUUUCAUUAAGUCACUACGCCCAACGUACAACGGGUUUACGCCUCGCGUACGGCUUAUAGGAAGACUAUGGCUUGGCCCAAAACAAGAGGCCCAAUCCUAUACACAAUUCUAUUAUAACCCCACAUAAAACUUGGGAAUCUAAAUAAAUUUAUACCUCGGAAGACGAUCGUUACACGUCGGCCACUACUAGGGUUGUUUUGUGUGUGUUUGUAUUAGUGUGUGUGUGUAUUAUUUUAGGUUUUUCUUUGUAAAGUGUAAUCGUGCUGGAAUAAUAAUAAAAGAAACUCAUAACCACCACUGUGAGGUGGUGGCCGCCGCCGUGAACCAUCGUCGACAACCACUACCCGAGGUGGUAGUGGGUGGUGCCCGCCUUAUGAAACCCUAAUGGGCCUUAUGGGACCCUAGUGGGCCUAAUGAAGCCCUAAUUGAUAUAAGGACUUAGUUUUGGGGCUAUUGGGCUAUGAUUGGGUUGGAAACCCUAAUUAGGGUUUAGAUAACCCUAAUUUUGGGAUUGCUGAUUUGGACUUAUCGGGACCCGCAUUUUGACUCAAGCCCAAUUUCAUUGUAUGUUUGGACUUAAUGGAUUAAGUCCUUAAUGGGUUAAGUUGGAACACUUAACCCUAAUCGUCAUUUUAUGUGAAAAAUCUUAAUUGGGUUUGGAUGCUUGUUGGCCAUUUAUUAGACUAAGUUGUUGUGGGCCUUUGCGGGCCAAUUGGGAACAUAUUUAUGGACUAAGGGAAAUUAUUGUGCUUAGGAUAAUACCCAUUAGAGAGGCUUGGGUCCAAUUUGGAAAAUUAGGCCAUAAGUAGGCCAUAUUUUGGCCUUGAGGAUUAUUAGCUAAUGGGCCAUCAAAAUGCCAAUUGUUUGGACUAGAAUAAUUGGUUAGGCCUUAAAAUAAGUCCAUGUAGAGGUUUGGGCCGAAUUUGGAAAAUUGGGCCAUAUGUUAGGCCUUGGUUGACUAUUGGGCUUUUGGGCCUUCAGGGUGUGAGUUUGGCCCUUGGUUUUGAACCAAGCUAGGUUAAGGGUAAAAUGGUCCAUUUACCCUAAGUGUGGAAUAUGGUUGUGUAUUGGAACCCAAUUAUUAAUUGGGUUUGGUUUUGAUGAUCGACAAUUCGGGAACCUGUCAACCAGCAGCUAGGGUUUAUCCACGGGACUUCAGCAGUGUAAGGUGAGUCUCCUCACCAUACUAAUGGGUCGAAGGCAAUAAGGCCGGCCCAUUUUAUGUUAUGUGGUACACUAGUUGUAGUAGAGAUAUGUGGUAUAGUAGUUAGCCUUAUGCUAAGUGGUAUGCUAGUGAUUAAAAGUUAUUGCAUGGAACAUCCCGGGGGAGCCCGUGGCAGUUCGAUAUAAGACCAUGUGGGGGAGCACAUGACAUUUCUAUGUAAAGACCAUGUGGGGUAGCCUAUGGCAUGAUGGUAUAAGACCCUGGGGGAGCCCACAGAAUCCUUAUAUGUUUAUGUAUUUGUUAGGUGGUAUGACAGAUACUUCUGUGGUAUAUGAUAUACUAGUUCAUUAUGUGGUUAUUACAUGGAAGACCCCGGGGGAGCCCAUAGCAGUUCGAUAUAAGACCAUGUUGGGGAGCCCAUGACAUUCCUAGGUAAAGACCAUAGGGGAGCCCAUGGAAUGACGGUAUAAAGACCCUGGGAGGAGCUCACGACAUCCUUAUAUGUUCAUAUGCAUGGCUUAUGUGAUUGAUAUGGGUUAUGUGUUGUUAUAGCUUAUACGGAUUAAGUGAUUAUGUGGAUUGUAUGGGUAUGCUCUGGGGAACUCACUAAGCUUCAUGCUUACAGUUUUGUUGAUGGUUUCAGGUAUCAUUGUUUGGAAAGGAAGGGCUCAGCUUGAUCACAGUGCACACAACCGUGUUUCCGCAAUAUAUGAUUUUGGGACGAACUCUGAUGAAUAUUUUUGAUUAAUCAUGUUAUUGGAAUGUUUGGAUUUAAAGACAUAUAUGUUUUGACAGUAUUGAAAAAUGAAAAUUUUACCCUUGAUUUUUGGGUCGUUACAAUUUAUUGGGCAUGCAUAACUCCAACUUUCUGGUUUGGGACACCUUUUUAGGUGUAGAUUUGAUUUGGGAUGUCUGGACGUGAUGUAUUAACAGUUUAAUGAAGACGUGCAUGGCCACAAUGCACGUAAUGCAAACCAAGGAGUACAUCAGGCGUAGGUGGUCAGCGGCACGCUUUCUGGUCAAGGCGGGUAUGUUGAACGUACAGCUGAGUACGCCCUGCGUACUCAACCUAUUGGGGUUUUGCUAGCUUGGGCUUCAAGUUGGGCCACCUUUUGGGCCUAACUGUCCAGGCCUUUAUUCGACAAUCUGAGUACUGAGCAUUUUCGGCUAAGUAAAGUAUUGAAGCUUAGAGAAAAGCCCCAAUAGGAGUUGGGCCUUAUUUGGGAAAUUGGGCCCAGUUUUGGCUUUGUGCGAUUAUUUAUUGUUGGGCCUUCUUAGACCAAGAAUUUUGGGCCCGGGUCAUAGCCUAAUUAGGGAUAGGGUAAAGUGGCCAUUUACCCUAAGUAUGAAUCCUUAGUAAAUUAUGGUAAUCUAGUUGUUAAUUAUAUGUUUGUUUGUUGUGACAGCUCAAGAUUUUUCGUGAGCCAGCAGUUAAAGGUUUUAGUGUGGUUUGACUUUGUGAGGAGAGUUUUCCUCACUAUACUUUUUAGUCGAAGGCACCAAGGCAAGCCCAUUGGUUUGACAACCUGAUAUUGUUGAUAUGAUGAGUAUGAUAUAGAUAUGAAUGCUAGUCUUGAUAUGCUAGUCUAGUAGAUCAAUAGGACUGCCUGUGAUAUUACAUGUUUAUCUGUAUAUGAUAUUAUAUGUUAUAUGUCGACAUAUUGUGUGGGUUGGGUUGAGGUAGUAGUGCAUUGUGUUGUAGCCAACAAACCCUAGAGUAUGCCAGAUAUGAGCUGGGCCAAGGAGGGCAUGUCAGACUCAUACGAUGGACUCAUGAGUAUUCCAAAUACGAGCUGAGAGCUGGGAAGGGCAUGCCAGACCCGUACUGAGCGAUUGGUGGCAUUCAGUCCAAUGACUGAUCAUGCCAGGGAGCAAGCCAGGCAUAAGCUGUGGGCCAAGGGCAAGCCAUAAUUAUGAUGUGGGAUCAGGGGUAAUCCAGGCUAUUAAAUCGUGGACACCGUACAUGUUGUUAUUAUAUUUGCUAUUUGUUAUGUAUCGGUAUAUUGGGGGAACUCAUCAAGCUUUGGGCUUAUAGUUUUGGAUUAUGUUUUAGGUACCUCAGAGGAUCGUGGGAAUGCGAAGACAUGAUUGUGCAAAUCCACAUGUUUUUGUCUUAUGAUCUUGGGAUUUAUCUGAUGUUGAAACAUAUUUUGAAAACAAUUCAUAAACAAUGAUGGUUUUGGGUUUAAUUAAAAAUUUAAAAUUUUCAUGAAUUUUAUGAAUGUUACACUUGUAGCCGAUAGAUGGGGGGAUUCGACAUAGGUGUGAGAUUGGCGAUCCUUUGUGUGUGAAGGUGUUAUGACUGAUUGUUGUCCAGGUUUCAAGGCGUGUUGUUGUAUUAGGAGCGUAAUAGAUAGGAAUGAGAAUUUGUAGUGGAUGGUAAGUUCUCGGCGGGAGAUACGAGGAAGCAUAUUGAUUCGCUCAGACUUCAUCAGGUACAUCAUAGUACUAGUAUGUGCAUGUGUGUAUGUGGUGGUGGUUGUGGGGGUUAUUUCUAAGUGGUUAGAUCUUUCUUUCCCAUCUAUGAUUAACGUUGCAGAGAUUUGUCAUGGGUUGACAGGAUGAAUAUAUUAAAGCCGAAAAAGAAAGUUGUGGAUCUGAUUAUAGUGACGAAAAUUUGGAUGAAUUGGCGAUUUCGAAAUGAUUAGGUAUUCCAAUCGAUGAACUUCUCAAAUAGAUUGAUUGAGGAGAAAGUUAUUGUUACUACUUAUGGGUGAUAUAAUAAUAGAAAUAAGAAAAAUGUAAAUACUUGGAAUGUUUGGCUUCAAAAUACCCUUUUUGAUCCCUAAUUAUUUUUCUAGCUCUUUGCUAGUCUUUGGAAUAAAAUCUUUAUUUGCUAAAAAAAACAACAUUCUUUAAUACUACUAAACUUUAAAUUGUAUUUAUAUCAAAGAUCACUUAUAAAUAAAAUUGUGUUUACAUGAACAAUUAUCUAUAAAUUUAAGGAUAGUUCUUUGUAUUAUGAGUUAUAUUCAUAAUAUUUGUAAAUACUAGGUAUUUUGUGUUUUUGUGCUCAUAAUGUUUGUAAAUUCUACAUAAUUUAUUUUAAAUGGUAUCUCAAAAUUUAUUUAUGCGGUAUUAUUAAAUAAAAUAGUUAGAUUCAUUUUUCUAUUGAGAAGAAAUUUGUAAAAUAAAUAUGGACCCAAAAACAACUAAUUAGAAUAAAACAUGUGUAGAGUCUCAAUGAAUGUUCAAAAUCAAGAGUGUGACUGGAUCAUUGAAAAAUGUUGCAAAUAAUUGUAUUUGUUGUGUUCAUAUCAUUUUUAUUCAAUUUAAAUUUCGUAUGAACAAUCUAUCAUGCACUUGUGAUUUUUUUAGACCAAUGCGUAUGUUACCGUAUUUUAAUCUAUUUUUGGUCACUCAUGUCAGCUUUAUAUAUAUUGUUUUAACAUGACCCAGGUCCGACUCGGACUAUACCCUUUGUGAAACUAAACAAGGGCUUAGGCCCCAAAUUCUAAAGGGCUCCAAUUUUAAAGUUCAUUUUAUUAACUAUAUAUGUAUAUAUACAUAUUUCUUUGGUUAUAAUGACGUGUUGGAACUUUGUCCAAUGGUAAAAGCAUUGUUUUAUCAAACUAAGUGUUUCAUGUUCCCAUCUGUUGGCUUACCUUUCAUUCAUUUUAUCUUGAAAACUACUUAAAGAUAUACCACAUCGUUCAUGGAUGAAACUCACCCAACUCUCCUCUUUUAUAUAAACUCGACAAUCCUCUUGCUUCAUAUGAACUCUACCUUUGAGUCUCACAUACGUUGGGAGAUCAAAACCUCAUCAAACUUAAUAUUUAUCUUAGUGAUUAGCUGAGACGCAUUAAGAAAUAGAUUGAGAUUUGGUUUAAGUUAUAAAAACGAUGGGCUAUAAUUUUUUUGUUUACUUAGAGACCCAAAUAAGUUAAGCCAGUGCCUACCCCCACAAAAUUGAUAUCAAAACAGCCACCUAAACACCUUUCACCCCUAUUUUUUUUAGUAUUAUAUAUGUACAAGUAAUAUAUCAACGUUACACUUUAUUUUGUAGGAUUUGAAAACCAUGAAUUUGAGUAGGAUAUUGAUUAUAAAGAAAUUUCACUUGUAUCACAAGAAACUUUCCCUCCUUCAUGUGUGUAUACGCAGAGAUAUUUUUUUUGCCAUUUCUAUUAAUGUUCUUUAUUUUGAUCCACCAGAAGACAGAUAAUGCACCAGUACGCUGUGAAUCUACAUGCCUUUAAUUGGCAAGUGCUGUGAAAAUGACAGGUAUAUAGAAAGGAGAGAGCCAGGGAGGUAUAUAAAAAAGGUGAUGACAUUACAAAGAUAACAGGAACACUAUUUUACUUGAAAAUGCAAGACAAAUCAUAGAGACAUAUACAGUCAUACAUGUCUUUCUCAAACAUAAUUAAUAGUGUUCUCCAUGAUUAUUGUAAUCUAGAUAUAUAUGAUUCUAAUCUUCCAAUUACAUCCAUAAACAUCACGGACUCACUGCACCCUGCAAAAACCACAUCAAUACAAUUAAACUUUAUUCCUGAAAGAUUUAAGCCAGUAGAUCGAUGAGUCUAUCAACUGGAAAUUGAAGAAAAUAAACAGAUAUUUGAACAUACUUGGAGCAAUCAGUGCUAGGACUGAUCUUGUAAGGGAUGUUGACACCACACAUGCCGGGGAGGGCAGCAGCGUUACCAGCAUUGAUGCCGGAAUUAGCUGAGUAAGCACUCUUUAAACAGCCACAAGCAGUCUGACGAUCAGGGGUUGAUUGUGCAGCGUUAUUGAGUGCGGUAACCCCACUGCAACAUCCCGAUGGCACAGCACCACCAUUUUUUAGGUAGCCAAGGCAUGGAGCUAAGUUGCUUACCACCUGACCACAUGUAAUAGCCUCUGCAUAGGGUGCAGCCACCACCAUGCAAGUGACUACUACACAAAAGACCAUCAUUGCCAUCCUUGCCAUUUUUCAAGUAUACGAGCACUAAAGCUGUAGGAAACUUAUAUGUUUGCUAGUUAUGUUAUUCAAAAUGUG
rnacentral:lncRNA from 1 species